UAGACCUUACACGUAUGUUUAUCACACCCACUCCAGAAACCACUCCAAAUCUUCAUGCUAGACCAUACUGGAGAAAUAAUACUAAGAGUAGACGCCGCACAUAUGUGUAUCACAGUGAUACCAGAAACUACAACUAGAAAUUACAUACACAUACGUGUAUCACACUGAUACCAGAAAACCUUAACUAGAUAUUACAGUAUGAAUCAAUAUCUGUCGACUGAAACUACGCGCCAAUAUUUCUCAAUUGAAGGCCAAUAAUUCUCAAUUGAACUACAGCCACAGCCUAAUAUCUGCAUGCGCAUAGCAAGAUCCCCAUAGAACUAUAGCUAGAUAUCCAAUACAAGACGCAUCCGAUGCAAACAUUUGGUUACUCCUAAGAGAAUUGGACUUAUACCAUCAGAGCGGCGCUUGUAAACGUAGCGCUCCAUCUGGAAGUCGCAGUUCUUGGUGCCAAGGUGGACGUCGGCGGCGAGCAUCAUCUGGAUGUCCUGCUCACGCUGCGACAGCGCCCGCGCGGCGCCGCCUGCCGGUGCCGCCGCCAUCGUCGACGCCGAAGUUUAGGGUUUCUGAUGGCUGCGCCGUGAGCUAGAGAGCCGGAACAAGUAGGUGGCGGCGCGAGGGAGAGCUCGCGAGGUAGAUGGUGCUCUGAGGUUUUAUAUGGGCUGGCUCGUCACGGAUGAAAACCCUAGGUCGUGAUGUCCUGCGGUUUUGCUUUACAGGCCUUCUGUCUGGGCCUUUUGUGGGUGGGCGAUGGACCUUGUAAAAUGUAGGCCCACCAUUCUUCUGGUUAUAAAGCAUGUUUUUCGUCCUUAACUCUCAAACCGAGAAAACCACCUCUGAAAUUUUUAAAACCGUUCCAGCAACUCUAAGAGAAGAGCUAUCCAUAUUGUGUAUUUUAUAUUUGGCUAUUUUGGGAGAGAAAAGAGAGUCCAACAGCUAUUGUAUUUGGUUUGCUAAAAUAGCAAGUCAUCUAUCCCGGAGUUCUCGCAUGGUAAAUAUAGCUUGCAUGUCCCGCUAGCCAUAUGAUUUGUCGUAUAGAAAGACUGUUGGAGAUUUUUGUUUUUUUUACAUGAUUUUCUAUUUUAGAUGUUGGCUAAAUCUUGAAUUUAGCCAUCUAUUUUUAUCAACUCUCUUGGAGUUGCUCUUAACCAGUUAUAAGCAGUUUUUGCCUUUUUUAUUUCAAAUUUUAAAAAUUAUAAUAAAUCACAGAACAAUUAUGAAAUGAAAAAACUAAUUUUACCGAACUCCACAUGAAUAAAUCUAUACAGUGAACAUAUAAUAGAUAUGUUUUAGUAUUAUUUUUUUGUUGUAGCUUUAGAUCUAUGAUUUUUGGUAUGUUCACUAUAUAGAUCUACCCAUGUGAAGUCCAACAAAAAUGGAUUCUCCAUUUUGUAUGUUUUUCUGUGAUACAAUGACUUUUUUUCCAAAGAUUUAGCUAAAACAAAUAAAGAAGUAAAAGAUAAAAUCGUCUUCGAAAACCGCUUAUAACCAAUCAUAAAGGUAAAGCGAAUGGUUUUAAAAGUUCAGAGAGGUAGUUUAUUCAAUUUUAGAGUUUAUAGAGGAAAAAAAGACUUUUAUAAAAGUUAAGAGAGAUAAUAUACUAAUAUGGACUUUUUCCAUAUGGUAAUUACAUAUGGUCAAUGACUGAACUAUGACUCUGCAGUGAUGGUCUUUGACAGCCAAGAGGCUAGGAAGCCAAUGGAGGCAACCAACAUGGUUGUGUCCAACCACGGUGCCUCGCAGUUGGACUACGCGUCGACCACCCUCUCGGUGCUCUACGAGGUAACACACAGAACGUACAUUUGUACAUGUAAAACAACGCAUGGAGCGUUCGCAACAUGCGGCGAUCAGUUGUGUUAAGCGCCUCGAAAACUAACAAUGGAUUACCAUCGCCGAGUGGUGCUGCAUUGCAGAUGGUCAAGGCGGUGGCGUGGCAGUGUUGGUGGGCAGCGGCAUCCGGCAAGGCACAGACAUGUUCAAGGCACUGAGCUCGAUGCCACCGCAGUCAUGGUAAAGCAAUACUCUAGAGAUUGAAGUGUGGCAAAUCCUUAUGAGGAUGAGUGCGUAAGUGUGCCCUUGCAUGGGGGAGGCCUAGGGAUAAAAAUGAUCGGAAACAAUCAAUAAAAGGCCAAAUCACUUUAAGUUUCACAUUUUUGUGUCUAAAACAACAUUGCUACGAUAUUGCCAAAACUGAAAGCAGCAUCGAUAUUUUAGUAGUUUCAAAAACGGUUGUAGCCGAUAAAAAUAUACACAAUAACGAUAAAAAAUCAUAAAAACAAUAUCCUAAAAAAUAAUAAACACGUCAAAUAAUAAAAUAUUAGAAGAGCCACGAUCCACAACAAUAUACAACAUGAUACGUGACGGGACCACAGGCUAGACCACACCAGACAUCAUACAGUUCACACCUUGCUGCUCCUAUUAUACAUAUAAAGUACUUAUCGUAUACUCUCUCCGUCUCAAAAUAGAAGGCGUAACUGUUUUUUUCUAAUGUCCUAGCAUAUAAGGCGCAGAUAGGACUGCUUAGAUGUGGUUGUGGCCAACUACACCUAAAAUUGUAGUCUACAAAAAAAUUAGGAUCCGUGGACGUUUGAAUUGGUAACAAAUUACGGAGUAAAUAUGGCAAUCCUAAAAAAUGAUAAGAAAAGGCUAAAAUCAUUUUCCCUUUCAUUUUUGAUUAUUUUUACCAUUACCAUUUUUGUUUUUUUAUUACCGCUACCAUUCUCGUCUAGGCUUGAAAAUCAGAAAAAACACAAAAACAAAUUUUCAUCCCUAGGGAGGCCGGUGUUCUACGGGCUGGCAAAGCACGGUGAGGGUGGGGCUACGUACGCGAUCGACAUGCUGAACAAGCUAGAGCAGGCCAUGGUAAGAAAGUGGCUCAAAUCACCAGGCCGCACGUCCAAAACGAAGGCGACAAAAUCAGAGCCCAGUUGUAUAAGAGAACUUAAGCUUCAUCAGCUUUCAGCGAACCUGAACAACAAAUCUUUGGGGGGAGGUGUGCUACAUUUACAACACCGACAACUCAGAGAUUUAGAUCCAACAACACAGAAGCAGGAGAGACAAUUGCUGCAACGAAGAGCAUACAAUUCACAUAAUGCGCUUAAAACAGAGCUAUCCAUUAGAAAUAGCAAAAAGGGGCCCGGUUCACUCACCGUCUCAGCAGAGUCAACAACACAAAAUUGAUUCCCAUCUCGUAGCACGUAAAACGUAAAAAGUUCAAAGCUACUACUCAAGCAGUGUCUACCAACGAGUUCUGAUGAUGACUACUAUGAACCAUCAACCAGGCUGAUUUACUCCUUAACCCCAGUUAGGGGUAGGAGCCGCGACAGGAGCAGCGCCUUCUUCCCAUCCGGUGGCUGCUGGAGGAGCAGCGGCAGCAUCCCAGACACCAUCAACAGGAGGAGCUGAAAUUCACAUGCAGAAUUGUAAGAGCCACAGGUGCAAGAAACUAAACGAGAAGAUAAUAACCAGAUAUUGAAGUUAAAAUAAACAAGCAAAUGUGAAUAAACAUUAUUGAGUAUAUUCUAUAGUGAUCUAAAGCUUCAACACAGUUAACCCAUAAAAUCCUAUCUCAAAGGGCAACUUGUGAUAGAAAAAAAAUGUCCACAGAACUUUAAGCAAUUGCUAGAAAACAUAUCAAAGUUUCAGCUCAAAUCACCUACCAGCUUCAGACACAAUAUCAAGCUAAUUCUAGGCACACAAAAGGUGGAACAGAGCAUCAACUAUCAAUCAAUUAAACAUUAUACCAUAGACAAACCAAGAAUGUGUAAACAAAAUACUACUACAAAGAUUACAAUAUUUUGUCUUUAUGCAAAUCAUGUAUUAUGUGAGGAGUAUCUGGACCUGGAGCAGCAGCCCAGUCUGCACCAGCAGCUGGAAUGCCAGCAGGCGGCGCUGCAGCUUCACCAGUUCCCCAGUCGGCACCACCCCAGUUCUCACCCCCUGGAGCAGUAUAUUCUGCAACUGCGCCAUAGUCAGGAGCAACCAGAGCCUCUUCUUCCUCCUGCUCCUUUGCUUCCUCCGGGUCUCUGUAGAAGAACAGAUCAACCUGCAGAAGAGAAACAAGCAUAUCAUUCAACACGCGACAAAAGGUAAAUGCUUUGUUUAUACAGGUCAGAAAUUGGUACGAAUGAAACUAGUUCAGAUUAUAUCAGUUUACCAUGAUGUCCCACUUGUGUCCUGGAAGAAUUGUACCACGCAUCUGAAGGACCAUUCUGGCAAGCAGCCAGAACAGGCAACCAAUGCUCUGUUUCCCCUUGUUAUUGGCAGGAAUGCCAAUAUCAACAUAGCGCAUAGGGGAGUCAGUGUCACAGAAGGCAAUGGUGGGAAUGUUUCCAAGUGCAGACUCCUUAAUGGGCUGUAAAAAGUUUGAUAAAGAAGAUCUGUAGGUGCUCUGAAUCAACAAUGUUUUUCUUACAACAGAUAUAAGUUCAUUUUACCUGAUGAUCAGUCCUAGGGUCAGUCAGGAUAAGAAGGCGCGGCUCGCUGAAUGAGGUUUGCAGCUGGUUGGUGAAUGUACCAGGAGUGUGCCUGCCGGCGAUGGCAUGAGCCCCAGUGUACUGGGCAAACUUGAGUACAGCCCUCUGGCCAUAGGGCCUAGCAGACUGUACUAUAAUAUCUUGAGGAUUUUCAAUUGCAACAAUGACCCUCGCAGCCAACUGUAGCUUCUCCCAG
rnacentral:lncRNA from 1 species